CAGUGAGGGAAUUAAGGACGGCACGUUGUCCUUGUAACGGGGAUCCAGCAGGGUGGCCACUCAGUAAUCAGCACAAGUUAGAAUGUGGGCAACUCGGCAGUCGUUGCGCAGGCACUUUGGUGACUCUAGAUAACCUCGGCCCGAUCGCACGUCCCCCUGACGGCGACAACGCAUUCGGAUGUCUGCCCUAUCAACUUUCGAUGGUACUUUCUGCGCCUACCAUGGUGACCACGGGUAACGGGGAAUCAGGGUUCGAUUCCGG